rnacentral:rRNA from 1 species
AUGGACCUACCAUCGUCUCACCAAGCACCAAGAGGACCCAUGACAAGAGCACGAGCGAGAGCUCUCGAGACCGAUGUGACUUCUCUCCUUAGUGAUAUCUCAUAUGAUCCUCAUGAGACAUGGCUACUACCUAAGUCCGGAAUGUUGUGCAUGAUUAGGUACCAAGAGGACCCUCCCGAGGAUGCACAUGAAGAUGCUCAGCAACCAAGUCCACGGAAGAAGAGAACCAAUGGAAAAAGGAAAGGACAACUUCCAGGCACCGGACAUCCGGCCAUGGUCCCGGACAUCCGGCCCCUGGAGAUCUACCCCUCAGCCACGGGUCCGCAACAGAAGCUACAGGGCCCGGACAUCCGGCCCUCCACCCCGAAAAUCCGGCAGCCAGCCCGGACAUCCGGACACGCCGUCCAGGGAGUACAGAAGGCUUCCCCAACAGCCCGGACAUCCAGCCGUCACCCCGGACAUCCGACGCCUCCCGAAGCCCCAGACAUCCGGCCCCUCCGCAAGGACAUCCGGCCCCGUCCAUCCAGAGAGCAGCAAGGCCAACUCCACCAACCCGUACAUCUGGCCCGAUAG